CCUACGGGUGGCAGCAGUAGGGAAUUUUGGUCAAUGGACGAGAGUCUGAACCAGCCAAGUAGCGUGAAGGAUGACUGCCCUAUGGGUUGUAAACUUCUUUUAUAUGGGAAUAAAAUGUUCCACGUGUGGGAUUUUGUAUGUACCAUAUGAAUAAGGAUCGGCUAACUCCGGGCCAGCAGCCGCGGUAAUACGGAGGAUCCGAGCGUUAUCCGGAUUUAUUGGGGUUAAAGGGAGCGUAGGUGGAUUGUUAAGUCAGUUGUGAAAGUUUGCGGCUCAACCGUAAAAUUGCAGUUGAAACUGGCAGUCUUGAGUACAGUAGAGGUGGGCGGAAUUCGUGGUGUAGCGGUGAAAUGCUUAGAUAUCACGAAGAACUCCGAUUGCGAAGGCAGUUCACUGGACUGCAACUGACGCUGAGGCUCGAAAGUGUGGGUAUCAAACAGGAUUAGAUACCCGGGUAGUC
rnacentral:rRNA from 1 species